AACCCAUAACGCAAUCGAGUUCAAGAAGUGACCCUACAUUUCUGUAGAUCUUUUUUUGGCUGCAUUGUAAUGCUGUGCUUGUCACUAUAAUUCUUUCAGGAACAUUCUUCUCUGGACCCCCUGGACCUCCCGGGCCAUCUGGGCCAAAAGGAUCACCUGGUACACCAGGACCAAGAGGAAACCAAGGAGAUUCAGGCCAGCCUGGUCUACCAGGGAGCCCAGGAAGACCAGGAGUAGGCUCUGAAAGAGCAUCACCAUACGGUGGAACACAUGGGCCACCUGGGCCCCCAGGGACUCCAGGGAUUCCUGGACCAGAGGGACGGAAAGGUAAACUACCAAAACUUGGGAAUCUUAAUUAG
rnacentral:lncRNA from 1 species